rnacentral:rRNA from 1 species
UUUCGAAUCUUUCACAAUGGGCGAAAGCCUGAUGGAGCAACGCCGCGUGGGGGAUGACGGUCUUCGGAUUGUAAACCCCUGUCACCAAGGACUAACCGUCCCGCACUAACACUGCGGGGCCUGAAUUAACUUGGAGAGGAAGGAGUGGCUAACUCUGUGCCAGCAGCCGCGGUAAUACAGAGACUCCAAACGUUAUUCGGAUUCACUGGGCGUAAAGGGUGCGCAGGCGGCUAGGUGUGUCAGAGGUGAAAGCCCGCAGCUUAACUGUGGAACUGCCUUUGAAACUAUCUGGCUAGAGUAUCGGAGAGGAUAGCGGAAUUCCAGGUGUAGCAGUGAAAUGCGUAGAUAUCUGGAGGAACACCAAUGGCGAAGGCAGCUAUCUGGACGAUUACUGACGCUCAGGCACGAAAGCAUGGGGAGCGAAAGGGAUUAGAUACCCCCGUAGUCC